UUCUGCUUAUGGUAUAUUUUCGCACUUUAUCUAGCACAUAUUUGAAGAAGUGUUGAUUCUCGUCUUACCUGUAUGUAUUUUUUCGAUACGAAUUAAUGAAAUAUUUUACGCGCGACAAAAUAAAAAGUAAUCUGUAUCUAAUUAUUUUUCUGUAAUAUUUGUACGCUUUGUGACACGAGAAUAUAAAUUUCAACAACGAUGGCAUUGUGUUAUACUAGGCUUCUUUGUCGACGAAAUAUCGGCUUUCAACAUUUUCGAAGCUUAUAUACAAGCAAUUCACUUACCACAUCCUUAUCACAACCAUUACGUGCAAAUAUCUGUGAAACACAUGAUGAAAAGAAUAUGCGUCUUAAACGACCUAUGUCACCACAUUUGACUAUCUAUCAAGUGCAAUUAACAGCAUUGCUUUCUAUAUCGCAUCGAACAACUGGCAUAAUAUUAUCAAGUUAUGCUAUGAUUUUAGGUCUUGGUACUUUAUUUGUACCAGGUGGAAUACCUUGCGUUAUAGAAAUUUUAAGUGAAUUAAAUUUGCCUGCUCCUGUACUUUUUGCAGGCAAAACAUUACUUGCUUUUCCUGCUACAUUUCAUAUAUUUAAUGGUUUUCGACAUUUGGCUUGGGAUUUAGGAAUGUUUUUGACAAUUAAACAAGUAUAUUCAACAGGCUAUGCAGUAGUUGCUUUAGCAGCUAUUUCUGCUGUUGUUUUAGCAGCUAUGUAGGCACUAAAAUUAAGUGCAUUAUUUGAGAAAUUAUUUAUUUUUAGAAAUUCGUUGUUAUUUGGAUGUGCAUCAUAUCUCAUCCUAUAAUGCAAAUAUUGUAGGGGGAGAAAUUAAGGAAAUGUGUUUAUGUAAAGACCAACAUAAAAAUUGUAUUUUCCUUAAUGUAAAAUACAAUAUCUCAUAUAUUUCGGAUGUUUUGUACAUAAUAAAAUAUUUACGAUUACACAUUUCACAUCGUCAAAAUA